AGAAGGGCUGCCCUAUGGCUGCUGCCUCCCACAACCAAAUCAUUUUUCUGGGAACCUGGGGAUCAUCUUGGCUCUGCCUAUCACAGCCAGUGCCUGCACGCCCUGCUCCGGCAUCCCCCUAGUGCCUGAGCACGCCAUCCUCCUGUACCCUACUCCAUUACGAUGUGAUUCCUUCGUGUUAAAACUGACUGGCAAAAUUGUAUAUUCCAGAUGACCUGAAAUCAAUGGCAACAAACUAUCCCU
rnacentral:lncRNA from 1 species